UACGAAGGGGGCUAGCGUUGCUCGGAAUCACUGGGCGUAAAGGGUGCGUAGGCGGGUUUUUAAGUCAGGGGUGAAAUCCUAGAGCUCAACUCCAGAACUGCCUUUGAUACUGAAGAUCUUGAGUCCGGGAGAGGUGAGUGGAACUGCGAGUGUAGAGGUGAAAUUCGUAGAUAUUCGCAAGAACACCAGUGGCGAAGGCGGCUCACUGGCCCGGUACUGGCGCUGAGGUGCGAAAGCGUGGGGAGCAAACAGG
rnacentral:rRNA from 1 species